UACGUAGGAGGCGAGCGUUGUCCGGAGUUACUGGGCGUAAAGGGUGCGCAGGCGGCCGCGCGCGUGAGGGGUGAAAUCUCCCGGCUCAACUGGGAGGGGGCCUUUCAGACGGCGUGGCUUGAGGCUCGGAGGGGGGCGUGGAAUUCCGGGUGGAGCGGUGAAAUGCGUAGAGAUCUGGAGGAACACCGACGGCGAAGGCAG
rnacentral:rRNA from 1 species